UACGUAGGGUGCGAGCGUUUGUCCGGAAUUAUUGGGCGUAAAGAGCUCGUAGGCGGUGUGUCACGUCGGCCGUGAAAACCUGGGGCUUAACUCUGGGCGUGCGGUCGAUACGGGCAUCACUAGAGUUCGGCAGGGGAGACUGGAAUUCCUGGUGUAGCGGUGAAAUGCGCAGAUAUCAGGAGGAACACCGGUGGCGAAGGCGGGUCUCUGGGCCGAUACUGACGCUGAGGAGCGAAAGCUAGGGGAGCGAACGGG
rnacentral:rRNA from 1 species